AAGAUGCGAGAGUGUGUGAACAAACGGAAAAAGCAAUAUAGAAAUAGGUAGAGAAGGUUGUAUAAAGGCCCUUUGUGUUCUUAUCUUAUAACGCAUACGCAUUCUUCCUGUAAAUACGUAAGUGUAAUAAUUAUCAACGAGUAGCGUCAGUGUGUAUGCCGGAUUAGACAAGAACAGAAGGGGCCUCUACACAGCGUUAUCUUUCUAUUCUCAUAUCGCAUUCACUUACACGUGCAAAGUAUAAAGAUAUAUUGUUGGACCGUUAGCGGAGAGACGCGGUGGCGGUAGAUCGUGCGAACGAGAGUCGUAAACGAUUAGAGUCGCGAACGUUACGAUUAGAUAAUCGACGCCACGAAACGAUCGAUCCCCUAUUUCGUUUAGGAUAAUAGUAGUAUAGUAACAGGUUACAAUAUGCACUUUAUUCGAACAACUUUGUAGAUAUAGACAGUUACGCUCGGUACGUAUAGAUAUAAGUUAAACAGAUGACCGAUCUAAGGUAUGACAAACUAGCGAAGUUCUCCGAUGAUGCUGUCGCAGAGGAAAACUAUUGCUGGGGGGCUGGUCUAUUGCGGGUGGAAAUGACCGUUGAUCAUGGGAAAAAGCCGACUUUGUCAGUUUUUUACUCGAUGGAACAAUAACCAUAAGGAACGUCUCGACUUGAAUAUAUUUUAUAAGAACGAAGAUUAUCGCGGUCCGACUAAUUAUAUUUGCACGGUUAGUGGCCGCCUCGACCGAGGGACGGAUUCUGAUUUACGUCAAGAGUCAUCGGACGUAACAUAUAUUAUAUAUAAAUCCUAAGUAUAAAUAGGUAUGAAGAAUUUUGAAGAAAGUUAUUUUUAAAUACGAAUCGAAUUACAAUUAUGGGAAAUUAUGGGAAAAUAUGGGAAAUUAAUGGAACAGUAAGAAGAGAAUACGAUACUUUAUAAAAAUGUAUUUAUUUCGUAUUGAACAUGUUGUAUGUAUAAAAUUAUCCUCUAAUUGCGUUUAAAUAGCCAUCUUUCUAUAUUGGGAAUAUGAAGUAUUUUCGUGAUUAUAAUAUUUUCGCAAUCUGCUUUCGUCCGAUUAACUGACUUGACAAGCAAAUAUUUUUGUCGAUAAUCUAAGUCAUUCACAUUCACCUGUCUUACAGAAAUGAUCGUGUUCUUAUCAAAAGAGAAAGGAUUAUUAGAAAGAAAAGAGGAAAUACGAUAGUAUAGGAAGAAAAAUAAAUGCAAGUCAGUUCAUCGUGCAUGAUAUAAAGUUCAUUAAUAUGUUUGCAUCUGAUAUAAAAAUGUUCUCCGCUGCGUUUGAUAAUCCUAUUAAAGAUUACACAUUAAACUAUGCGCGAGUACUAUUUAUUAUUUCUAGCAUACGAUUUCUUUAGUUUCAACACGCACAUGUACAUAUAUGUGUAUUAAUCAUUACAAUGUACUGUAUUUAAGCUCUUUGAUCGACGUAUAUUAAUGAAUUUCACAAUUUCGAGCGUAUCAUAUGUAUAUUGUCAUGAUUGGUGAAUAAAUUUUGACCAAUUU